rnacentral:rRNA from 1 species
AACGCUAGCUACAGGCUUAACACAUGCAAGUCGAGGGGCAGCACGGGAGUAGCAAUACAACUGGUGGCGACCGGCGCACGGGUGAGUAACGCGUAUGCAACCUACCUAUCAGAGGGGAAUAACCCGGCGAAAGUCGGACUAAUACCGCAUAAAACAGGGACACCGCAUGGUGAUAUUUGUUAAAGAAAUUCGCUGAUAGAUGGGCAUGCGUUCCAUUAGGUAGUUGGUGAGGUAAUGGCUCACCAAGCCGACGAUGGAUAGGGGUACUGAGAGGUUGGUCCCCCACACUGGUACUGAGACACGGACCAGACUCCUACGGGAGGCAGCAGUGAGGAAUAUUGGUCAAUGGGCGAGAGCCUGAACCAGCCAAGUCGCGUGAAGGAUGAAGGUUCUAUGGAUUGUAAACUUCUUUUAUACGGGAAUAAACGAAUCCACGCGUGGAUUUUUGCAUGUACCGUAUGAAUAAGGAUCGGCUAACUCCGUGCCAGCAGCCGCGGUAAUACGGAGGAUCCGAGCGUUAUCCGGAUUUAUUGGGUUUAAAGGGAGCGUAGAUGGGUUGUUAAGUCAGUUGUGAAAGUUUGCGGCUCAACCGUAAAAUUGCAAUUGAUACUGGCAGUCUUGAGUACAGUUGAGGUAGGCGGAAUUCGUGGUGUAGCGGUGAAAUGCUUAGAUAUCACGAAGAACUCCGAUUG